rnacentral:lncRNA from 1 species
AGCUCUUAAGGGGUUAUUUUGCAACAGACACCAAAUCUGCCUCGGAUCUCCAAAUGAGGCUCCAAAAGACAUUCUGGAAACUAGACAUUUCAAGGAUCAUUCUCCAAUUUGAAUCGAAUGAAAAACAAUUCAAACGAGCAAGAUAUGCCCUCUCAAAGAUGGGUAUUUAACAAGCAAAAAUCUGAAAAUUUCAGAUUUCCAGAUUACAACCAAGUCAGUGGGCUUUCUUAAAAUUCAUAUCUCCUUUACAAACUCCACUGGGAACCCCAAGGGUCAAUCUGGAAACUAGGGAGAGAUCAUAACACUCUCCAGUUGGAUUUACUCUAAGAACAUUCAUGGUUUAGAAGAUAUGACUGUCUAAAGUUCAGUGCACAAAAAGCGUUCAAGUUUGGCAGAUUCAUAACAUAAAUCAGAAAACCAACUUUAGGCUUCACCAAAAAUUCUAAAACUAAGCAAGUAAGUUCCCAACAUGUCAUUGAAUAUUCAGUAGAAAGCUAGGCUUGAGAAUCAAAGAUUUAAGUCGGGCUUUGCCACCUCAAAGUCGUAGGUUUGUAAAAUCUACUGGAUGGUACAUGGAAUAAGAACUAGAUUUCAAGAAUUUAUACCGGUUGUUUCCCUUAUUCAAAAAUGGUGAGGCCGAUGUCAAAAGAAAGAUACGGGAGUCUAGAGUGACAUAUUCAAGUUUCAAAGGUUUUCACCGAUUGAAACUUUACUUAUGGCCUCCCAAAGAUUGUUUACCAAAAAUGUAUUCCAGAUGGGCAGUGAUGUUUACAAAUUCAUAAAUAAAUCAUAAGAGCUUCAAACCUUCUGAAAUUUUGCCAAAGUAUAGAAAACAUAUGAAAGAUGAUACACAAUUAAUUUGGGAAUUUUUGGGAACCUUUUGGAUGGCUGGAAUCGCCUUGCAAAACACUGCCGGAGCAGUGUGCUUAUGGCAGAACUCGUGGCUGCUCUUCGGUUCCUUAGUGAAGAAUGAAGAUGAUGAAAAGAUUGUUGCCUGUAUAAUGGAAUGUUAGAUGCAUUCUUGCGUGUGGUGGGGAAGGGAGUAGGUGGAAAGUUUGGUGUAGUGGAAUUAGUGGAGUGGAAAGGGUGGUGAGAAAAAAUGUAGUGGAAGAAAGCAAAAGGUGGUGGAGAUAGUUGGUGGAGUGGAGAAGUGGAGAUUAUGCGUGUAUAGUGUAGGAGACAUUAGGGAGUGGAAAAAAAUAAUGAUGAUUGUAUGCUUACAUAUAUGUCUAGCAUAUUCAUGUAUCUACUUCAUAGCAUUGAUAGAUGAAACUGUAAUUGGUUAUAAGAGUUUGUAAAGUAUGAGAAUGAGAUUGAUGAAUAAAUGAAUUAUAUCCUCAUGCCUUGGUGAUGCUAAUACAGUAAUAUGAAUCUAGAUUAAAUCCGUAGAUUGAAUUUGCGUUGC